UAAUGUAUAUGUUGUCUUCAUUUCUUUUCUAUUACUCUGGUAUCCUUCACCAGUAUGAACCCAGCAGUGUGGUGUUUGUCGAAGCUGUGGCUGGCUCUGCCAGUUCGUUCCCCAAAGAGCUCCUAUUUCCAUUCCACUGGAGCUUAUAUUCCUUUAAAUGUCUAGCGCAGCAUCAUUUCCCCCUUUCUAAUACAUCACUCUGCUGGAAUUAGAAGAAUCCAAGGUUAUAUCCAACUUCAAAGGUUUCCAAGUCAUCAUGAUUUUAAUAAAAGGAGAAGAUAGAUCAUGGAACAAGUCCCUGGCUUUUGAAGAUAGGCAUCAUAGGGACCUUCCUCCCUCUGUCUCGUUCUCGCUCUCGCACUGUCUCCCCCCAACUUUGUACCUCUCCAGCUCUGAAUGUCCCGCGCUAGCGCGGUUUAAUGAUAUGCAAAUGAAAUAUGCAUAAAACCAUUCUACUGUAUGAUGAUUAAACACUGGAGACAUUAACCGCCGACGCUUCGCUGUUUGACUAUAAUAAUCUUUCCCGAGCAUCCACUUUGAUUGCGGAGUUAUGGAAACCCAUAGCAGUUGGCAGAGAGGGAGUAAGAGAGAGCGAAGGAAGGAGAGGUGCGGGGACACAUCACCCAUCUCUGCAUUUAUCCCAUUCCAGGAGACGUUUCCCCCUCUUUGUACUGCGUUCCUACUGCUGUCUUUUGUAAUCCAUCCAUGCGGUCGCACCAGGGCGAUUAACGGGAAAAAAAACCUCUUUUCUCUUAAUGUUUCAAAGCUCAUUAGCCAAACGAUUAUUCCUCAUUAACAGCGAAAGCUCAUUCAUUAAAAGAAAAAAUAUGCCCAAAAGAUGCCAGCGCUGUUAAUCCUGAGCCCUGUAGCUGGGCUGUAAAUCCCAUGCUAGUAUUUUCCAUGAAGAAGGGAAGUGCGCCAAUCCACAAAAAAAACACCAAGCAAAAAGAAAACAUUUUGUGUGUUUUGUAAAAUCCGCAAGAGAGGCAAUUAAUAUUCCCGUUGUAUGACUUUAUUUUUUUGUCUCUCCCUUUUGUCUCCAGUGCCCUUCCCUGGCUCAGCGCCCGGUGCCAACAGAACACCUUGCAGGAUCCUCAGCAGCGCAGACAACACUCCAAGAUGCCGGCCUCGGCUUGGAACGGAGCGGUGUCAUGGCGGAGACGACGGCCUUUGUCUCGCAGGGUGUGAAAGCAUCCGUUGUGCUGGCUCCACUGCGGCAGAAUGACGUCUAAAGGGGGGAAAAAGUGCUGGAAGUCCGAGUUGUGCGGUGCUGGUGGGGGAGCCCCGUCCCCACGGUGUGCGUCCGAGGAAGGGCUUGCGGCAGAGGAGCCUGGUCUGUAAUCCUGGCACUUGUGCCUCCGGUCGCUGCCUGCCGUUUGCUCCUGGGGGUCUGGAUAAUCUCCCUUGGCUCUACGGCACUGUCUGGCCCGCGCACAGGGCCCCCGUAACAUAUACCCGCUGCCGCGAUCACAGGGAGCUGUGGCGUUGCCACUGAAUGGAUGGCACUGUGCCAACUCCGCUGCCAUCCGCCCUUGCAGCUCUUUUCCUCCCUCCUCCCUCCCGCUCUCCCCUCCUCCUCCUCCUCCCGUCGACUUGAUGUUAAUUAACACACGGGUUAAUUGAUUUUAAAAGCUGAAGAAUUACAGUUAACUUUUCCCACAGGGUACGGACGCCAGCCGCCUGGCACGGCUCUGCCUCGUGCGGGUGCAGGGGGGCAGGGAAGAGCUCGCAGCAAAACCAGCCACUGCAGAGGGAUGGAUGGACGGCCGUCGACUGUUGGAGUGUGGCUGGGGCAGCUGAUGCUCCUGCCUCAUCCUCCGGACAUGUCACCACUGUAUUUUGCUAUAAACAAUCAACAUGACCCCUCCCCUCGCCUCUCCCACCCACCCUCCUUUCAGGACGAGUGCUGUCGAAGUUUCAGCAGGGAAGCUGUCCCCCCCAAAGUCCCAUCAGAGUCCGGCAAUAUCUCGCACCACAGGACUGCCCAGCCCGAGCACCCUCCAUGACGACGUGGGGCAUCGGAGGGCCCCCGGCCCUCAUGGGCUCAUCCCGCCUGCCAGGGCUCAGUUCCCCUUAUCGGCUCCAACGUGUCGCUUGGGAUGAAGCAUCACAACCACGGGAAAGUUAGUUUGUUGUAAUUACAAGAGAAAUAACCCAUGUGGGGGCUUUGUUUUUUCGCUCUCCCUCGCCCCAGUGUGCUGCCGGUGAGGGUGACGGUGUGGCGGGAGGAGGCGCAGCGACGCUGGGAACUUGCUACUUUCACCUUCCCGUGCUUUCAUUUUAUUUCGUUUUUUAAAAGCAUGAAGCAAGUGAAGCGACGAGAGGAAUCCAUUAUGCAAAUCAGGUCACAUUUGCAUAAUGUCUCAUGACUGGAAUAUGCAAAUGAGUUGUAUAAUUUAUGAGUGCCAGUGUCUGUCUAAAAGUGUUUCCCAGAAUUUAUAAAAACUGCAGCGUGGGGAGGCAGCUGCCAGGAGGGUCCACGCUUGCUUUGCAAAGUCUGCCUGAGCCCAGCAGCCCAAACACUCAGGAGUAAGAACUGACGCCCCUUCCCACCCUGUCCUCUUGCUUUAUUUUCUGUUUCUCCCUCUGCAAAGUCCCCACCUGCUCCCCUCAAACUUCUCUGAGGGUGUGAGGCUGGGACACGGGGCUGGACAGCCGGGCAGUCCCGCAGGUGGCUCAGCCAGGGCUCGCUCAGGUCCCUCAGGGCUCUCCACAGCUGCAGAGCCCCUGCGCCAUUCAGGUAAGUGAGCUCAUGGGCACAGUGCAUCGGAGAGCUGCCUCGAGCCGCUGCCUCUACUGACCCGCACGGUGGGAUUCCUGCUGGUUUGCCACGUGCCAGGUCCAGCCCCUGCUUGGAUCCGAGCUCCGUGACCUUGGGGAGAGCUACGAGGUCAGCGCAGGGCUGGCAUUGCCAGCGGAGGGACCCUGAGUGUCGUCCCCAGUGCCGCAGUGCUCGGCGUCAGCACUGGAAAGGUCUCUGGAAUAUCUGGACAUGCAGGACAGUGCAUGCAGCUCCAGGCUGUGACAGUGAGAGUCUUGCUGAGUGCCUCCAGGACAAAGAAGUGAGUUCAUAGACUGUGCUUUUACCUGGGAGUUCUGUUGUGGGAAUAUGAAGAGACCCUCUGCAUCAGGUUUGGUGCCUGCCCCCUCACUGCAGGGUGACCGUCCCCCCAGCACCAAGGAGUCACUCUCCCUGUACUGGUCCUUGCUGGCACAGAGAAGUAGCUGAGUCUGAUCUGGAGACAGUGCAGGACCAGGGCCACUGGGAACAACCAGUGUUUCCUGCUGGAGACCGGUGUUCUCCUGUGGUUCCUCACCGGUGGCAUUGGAAGAAUUCCCUGCAUCUCUGUCCUUGGGACUUCCUGGGGCCUUUGCCUGCAGGACUUACUCUCUGUCUCUUGAUGAGCAUCCAGCAUCCCUGUGGUGCUCAUGGGAGCUGCACAGAUCCAUUGCUCCUGAAAACCAGACCCUGUGCCUGUCACUUCAGAGUGUGCCCAGUGACCUGUGUUUCAUGUGCCAUCACCUGAUAGGCCAGUGGGAGAUGAGGAUGCUGCAGUGAGAAGAGAUGAUUGGUGGGAGGAACAUGUCUGCACCCUUCACAUAGCGAGUCGGGACAUGGGGAUGUUGGGCAGGGAAGCCAAAGGGCAAAAAGCAUUUAAUUUCCCCAGCAUGAAGAUAAUGCCAUGAGUCCCAGCUCUGUGGAGGAAACUGCUUGGCAGGACUGCUCAAGAGCUUCUUCCCCAGAUAUGGAUUCCUUCAGGCUCUUAAUUCCUCUGUGUCUCCCAGCUUUAGCUCAUUCUUCCUCUUUGGCUUGCUAUUUUUCCUUUUGACCACUUUUCUAUGCUCUAAGGUCAAGGGUUUUCCGUAUGGAAAGAAGUUUAGCCCCUCCUAGCCUUUCUUGUGCCAUUUGCCCACCUGGCAUCACAUGCCCCAUACUAAGCCUGGCAGUGCUUGGGCAUGCAGGCACUACCAAUAGUGAGGAUGUUCUCCCUUGAUUCCCACCCAAAAGAAGAGCACAUUUCCCAUUUCCUCAGGAUGAUGCUCGGACUGGACAACCUCCUCUCCCUUCACAUGCUUGCACACAGGACAAGAGAGGGCUGUGUGCCCCAUGCUCCCACUGCCAUGUUCCCAUCCUAGUGCUGCCAUUCUGCAGCUGGAGCCAAGCAUGGCAGAGACAAUGUGCUGGAGCAUUCUGUCUGAGGGGAGUUCGGGGAGGGGAGAGGGAAAAAGGCUGUUAGAUCUAUCGCUGGCAAUUUAGAUUCAGAGACAUUUCAUCUGCAGUUCCCUCAAGUGUUGAAUUGAAUAAAACCAGCAGCAGCGGUGGAAAAGAAGGUGGGGGAAGGGCUUUGAGCACUCUCAGCUAAACAAAAAGAGACAGGCAGCUCAUAAAAAAGGAAUUGCAUCCUUGGGCUGAAAAUCUGGAUUCACAGGGCAGAAGGGGAGGGCGCGUGGCAGAGCCCAUCCGUGGCCAGGGGCCAGGCAGUGCUGCCAAGGGCUUCUGGUGCUCCCACAGCAAGAGCAGAUCACAGGGCUUACUUCUGGGUUUCCUGGUUUUCUGUGGAUUUUUGAAGCUCCCGUUGUAGAAUCAAGCAGGAAGAACAGAGUCCCAGGCUUCGGAUGCAAUUUAAAAAAACCCCAAUACUUCACUUUCCAGUGCUUCAGGAGAAAAGCACAAAAGUGAAACCCUCAAGGGUCAAAAAUUCAGAAGAACAAGUAACUUAGCACUUAUAAUUUUGUAAACAGUUGCUGUUGAGGGCCAAACUCAUCAUUCUCAAACACAGCUGUGGGAUGGCAGAACUGUCCUCACCAUUAGAUGUUUCUGUUCCUCUGCCUUUGAGGGAAUUGCUGCUGGUGGCUGUUCUGGCUAUGCACUGCAGCAUUGGGUUUCUCUGGGUUUGUCCCAUUCCCUGGGUGUCAGGCAGUCUGAUACCCCUCCAUGAGCAGAGGCAGGUGCCCUGGUGCAGUGGAGUCUCUGCCUUCCCUGAGUUGGACAUGUCUGGUUGCUGCAGCUGGAUGCUCAAGAGCAGAGGAUCUAUCAACUGCAGACCAAGCAGAGGGAGAGGCAGGCAGAACUGGAGCAGAAAUGCAGCCGGACGAGCAGCUCAGCCAGGACCUGGGGGCCAGCCACCAGCUGCAGGAGGGAGCUCGGAGCAGCUUGUUCCAGAAGAUGGUGCAAUUUGGUGAUUGAUUCCUGAAGUCUGGCUGGUGCAUCUGCACUGGGGUAUAGAAGGCACAGACCCUGCCGUGAUGCCCAGAACACUCUGCCAGUGCCAGCCACCCACAGCUCACAGCUCCAGAAGCAGAAGCAGAGCAUUCCAUCAAUAGAGAGGCAGACAAAGCUGCAUAUGGAAAUCACAGCGCACUUCCACCAUGGAUCUCUUCAGUGGCAGAACUGUGAUCUGCUCUGCAUUAUUUUUCUGAUAAUUGUUAACAGGCAGUUUGCCUUUUAGGCUGCUCCUGGGCACUAAGCAAAUAUUUCCACACCUCUAUCUCUCCAUCCCCAUCUGGUUGUAUCUAGCACAGCUCCAGGCCCUCGCUCCUGAGGAGGAACAGAGCUACAGCAGCUGGGACUGCAAUGAGAUCUUGUGAGCAAGAUGGCACAAACAUCCCAGAUCCUGAGUAAGAUUAGGCCUACCUGGCUGUGUCAUACCUUCGAGACUGGUAUAGUCUGAUAAACAUUGAAAAAAGAAGAAAUAAUGAUACAUGGUCAGCCUCACCACAUUGCAGACCUGGACUCUUCCAGGCAGGUCUACCCUCAAGUAUCUGCCCACCUGAGGGGCUGAGUAGCCCUGUGGGGAGAGCUCGGGAGCCAGCUUUUCACCAGAGCCAGGCAGAAUAGCCAGGAAGGGCCCACAUUUGCCCUGCACUUGGACAUGGAGCCUCCUUAGGCAAAAUGCCUGUGCCUGUGGAGUCUUUUCCCUCCAAGACCUCACCUUCACCAUCACAUGGAGCACUAAGGUCAUUGUGGUACAGGCACAGGAGCACCAGUGGCCCAGGGACACAGGGACAACCCAAGUGGCCCAGGGACAGGCAGCCCACAUGGGGCAGGGGUGAAGAGCAGCUAGCCCCAUCACCCAGGCGUUAUGGGACCUCUCACCGCCCAUCACAGGCAUGGCUCCGCAGGGAACACUGCUGGAGCCAGAUGGAUCAGCACUGGCAUGAAGUCCUACCCAAGAGCACAAAUAACAUCAUGUUCUUGUGGUCCUCCUUUGCACUUCCUUCCUGCAGAUUCCCAGGAUGAGUAGGAAUGGAUUGGGCAGCCUGAUCUCCUGCAUCUGCAGCCAAGGAAAUUUCACCGUGUUACUGUGGAAUUCAGAACUUGUCUGACUAAGGCAGUUUUAGAUGGGCAUUCAGCUGGGCUUGAAGACAUCAAGAGACAGCAAAAGCAUUACGUCCUCCCCUGGCAGUCAGUCCCUUCGCAUCACUCCUACUGAUUUUUUUUCUCUGAUUAUUGCUGUGCCAACAGGGCUAAUGAAGCUUUCUGUGCUGCAGCA